rnacentral:rRNA from 1 species
AACGAACGCUGGCGGCAUGCCUAACACAUGCAAGUCGAACGAAACCUUCGGGUCUAGUGGCGCACGGGUGCGUAACGCGUGGGAACGUGCCCUUAGGUUCGGAAUAACUCCCCGAAAGGGGUGCUAAUACCGGAUAAUGUCUUCGGACCAAAGAUUUAUCGCCUUUGGAUGGGCCCGCGUUGGAUUAGCUAGUUGGUAGGGUAAAAGCCUACCAAGGCGACGAUCCAUAGCUGGUCUGAGAGGAUGAUCAGCCACACUGGGACUGAGACACGGCCCAGACUCCUACGGGAGGCAGCAGUGGGGAAUAUUGGACAAUGGGCGAAAGCCUGAUGCAGCAAUGCCGCGUGAGUGAUGAAGGCCUUAGGGUUGUAAAGCUCUUUUACCCGGGAUGAUAAUGACAGUACCGGGAGAAGAAGCUCCGGCUAACUUCGUG